rnacentral:lncRNA from 1 species
UUUGUUAUGGUCCCUUCUGAAUAGCAAGACAUCUCAGAUUUGUAGCAUGCUCAGUUCGCUUUCUCCUUGUGAUCUCCCGUUCACUUAUCAUCAAUGGACUGACCCAUGCUUAAUCACUUUAGCCUUAUUCUUUAGAAACUGAUCAGUAUCUCUGUGUACACUCCAUCAGUUCUUUCUUUGUUUGGCAAAUACUACGAUCCUGGUUACUUCCAAGAUUGUUGUGUUUUGUUUGCUUGACAGCUAAUGCACUUGCUGACUUUCCUUAGUUAGUUACUGAAGUCUUCUUCUGAUCAACUUGUGGAAGACUUCAUCUCGAAUGGAUUCACAACUCAAUCUGGAUGCUGAUUAGGUUGGUGCUUAGAUCUUUCGUCAGCUUGCAUGCCAUUCGUUGAGUGCUCUUUGGUUUCUUCAGGUGGGAUGUAUCUUUGUAGCUUAGACCAGAGGCUUCAUUCCUUUGGAUAUUCUGGGAGUGCUCAAUAGUUGAGAAUAGUGUUUGCUCUACGAUUCUAACUUGGCAUUAUGAGCACAUCUGUUGAGGUCUUAGUUCGACACUCUAUGAUUCAGCUUUGGUUGUGCAGACACUAUGACUCUUAGAU